UUUCCUGGGAGCUCCAGAUAACAGCACUAUGGGAAGGAGGAAGAAUUUAAUGAAGCUUGUACCUGUUGGCUGAAACUAAGCAGCCUAUUUAUAAACCGCUCUAAAAUGCCAGGAAGCAGGUAACUCCCAAAUGAAAAAGCAAGCAGGUCUCUUCCAUGAUCAGUGGGAUGGCUGAGCUGUCUGCGAUGCCUUUGCAUCUUACUGCUUCGCUGACUCUGAAGGUCUGGCCCACAGCCUCAGGUGACCAAGCCUCCAGUGAGCUCAAGGAGCAGCUACCUCAGCGGUGCUUGCAGGCGGAUCAGGAUGGAGAGGGGUCUAAAACCCCCAUUUUGUUUCCUUCUUUUGUCUUUUUUUUUUACUUCCCUAGGGAAGGAAAAGUUACUAUGAAAUUGGAAGAGGCAUGAAGGAGGCAGAGAGAAUGGAGGGUCUUCUAAAAUGGGUUUAUUUCUCAAAAGCCAUAUAACGCUUCACAAAUUCACACUAAUCUAACACUCCUGCACUGUGCCCUCCCUCACUUCAGCCCUAACCGUGGGGCGAAAUCCCGCAGCGUGAGAAUGUGCAUGCAAACCCUGCAUGGAUCCGCGGUGCGUGUGGAUGCACUCAGGAGCCAGCUAUAUUUCAGUUCUUGCUACUUGUAUCUGUCUUGAGCAUCCACCCACAAUGAGCAACACAGAUAAAUAAAUCCCCAAACCUCGCCUUGUCACUGGUUCCAACUCCUCCCAUCUCCACCUUUAGUAGCCAACAUCAUAUAUCACAUUCUUUGAUAUGUCUUUCUCAACAUCUCCCUUGCUCAGAUUACCUUUUAGUAAAAGUUCAUAAAACAAAACAGAAUUUACUAAAAAUUGGUCAGUGGAAAGGUGAGCAAUACAACUUCUGAAAAAAAAUUUAAACCAGUGUAUGAUUUGGGGAUUUAGCAAAGUGAACUGAUAAACUAGGACAUUCAAAUCUAUUACACUGAUACUUUCUCUGGAAAGAGAUUGCUUGCUUGCUUUGCAUGUAGUUUCACUUCAGGACUUAAUUCCUCGUUUAAAAAAAACUGGAAGAAAAUUUUCCAUUAGCUGUAUUUUAUUUAGAUCCAGAGACAAAGCUCAGCUAAUGCAUAUUACAAUAUAUAAUCAAGCAUAAUUACAUUAAAGUAUUAAAACACUGUAAGUUAUUAGAAAUAAUGAAAUUUCUUGCAUAAAGUCAUUGCAUGAAUUACUCUGGUGCUUGUCAGACCACUAAUCAGGAAGAACUGCCAGAGAUGGCAGAGAUUUCACUUGCCAGGACUCCGCAGUCCAUUAGCAAAUCAGUAGACUUGGGGGGGAGGUGAUUUUCCAUUAAAGCUGCAGCAUCACAGAAAGUUACCCUCUGAAGUCGUUCUUAGAUGAAUACUUCUAUGUCAUACACAGCUAAAUUCCAAUAGUCAUAACAAUUAUUCUAAACUAAUUAAAAUACAAAUAAAAUUUUAGGCUAUGUGAUAACAGAUAAUGUGGCAAAAACAAUUCUACAAUUUUGGAGGGGCCUGUAUGAUAUAUUCACAGUUCUUGCUGGUUCCUUCCAAAUCUUUGUUUUUU